rnacentral:rRNA from 1 species
GGUAAACGCUGGCGGUAUGUCUAAUACAUGCAAGUCGAACGGAACUUCGGUUCAGUGGCGAACGGCUGAGUAACACGUUGGUAGCUGCCCCGCACUCAGGGAUAACAUCUAGAAAUAGGUGCUAAUACCGGAUGGUCCCGAAAGGGUAAAGAUUUUUCGGUGCGGGAGGCGCCUGCGGCCUAUCAGCUUGUUGGUGAGGUAAAGGCUCACCAAGGCUAUGACGGGUAGCUGGUCUGAGAGGAUGACCAGCCAGAAUGGGACUGAGACACGGCCCAU